rnacentral:rRNA from 1 species
GGAAUUCCGCGUGUAGUGGUGAAAUGCGUAGAUAUGCGGAGGAACACCAGUGGCGAAGGCGGCAUGCUGGGGCAGAACUGACGCUGAGGCGCGAAAGCAUGGGUAGCGAACGAGAUUAGAAACCCCGGUAGUCCAUGCCGUAAACGAUGUACACUAAACGUUCGUUCGGCUGCGGUCGAGUGAGUGUUGAAGCAAACGCGAUAAGUGUACCGCCUGGGGAGUACGGUCGCAAGGCUAAAACUCAAAGGAAUUGACGGGGGCCCGCACAAGCAGCGGAGCGUGUGGUUUAAUUCGAGGCUACGCGAAGAACCUUACCUGGGUUUGACAUGAUAGUGAACAAAGGCGAAAGCUGGCGGUCCUUCGGGUGCUAUCACAGGUGCUGCAUGGCUGUCGUCAGCUCGUGUCGUGAGAUGUUCGGUUAAGUCCGAAAACGAGCGCAACCCCUAUUGCCAGUUACAAGUGUCUGGCGAGACUGCCUGCGGCAAGCAGGAGGAAGGUGGGGAUGACGUCAAGUCAGCAUGGCCUUUAUAUCCAGGGCUACACACACGCUACAAUGGCGCGUACAAUGGGUCGCGAAACCGCGAGGUGGAGCCAAUCCUACAAAGCGCGUCGUAGUUCGGAUUGUAGGCUGCAACUCGCCUGCAUGAAGUCGGAGUUGCUAGUAACCGCAAAUCAGCACGUUGCGGUGAAUACGUUCCCGGGCCUUGUACACACCGCCCGUCACGUCAUGGGAGCUGGUCACGCCUGAAGUCGGGAGGCUAACCUAACGGAGGCUACCGCCGAAGGCAGGGCUGGUGACUGGGACGAAGUCGUAACAAGGUAGCUGUAGCGGAAGCUGCGGCUGGAUCACCUCCUUAA